rnacentral:lncRNA from 1 species
UAAGUUUGUUUGGUCUAGAAUAAUUUUAGAAAUCAAAACAACUCCGGAGAGUCGGAGACUGGAAGGAAGCAUCGGACUCAAGUUGGUACGAGUGCUAAUAUCUGUGUCUUGAUUCUGCCCAUGCACAUUUGUAUUUCUCUGUAAAUUCCAACGUUCUGGGGGCAGCGUGGAUGCAGGCUUGUCGCUGCGUAAUCUAAUACUUGAGCAACAACAGCCGGAGGAAACUGUCGUUCAGUGCACGUCUGCUCACGGACAAGUGAAAAAUAUUCAGCAUAAUGCAGUUACGAAUCCAGUUACAGGUAAGAGAUGACCAAGUCAAAGUGAACACUAGCAUUUUUCUCUACCGAUGUAACUCGACACUAGCUCAGUUUACCUGUAUCAUGUGUACAGCCAUCACGCAUGCAGAGAUGACCUCCGAAAGAAUCUGAGCCUCAUUUUUGUCAGCGUCGGUAUGCAACUUCGGCGCAGAUGAAUCACUGGUCAAGUUGGGACCUGAUGUGCCGGAACUUAUCUGAUUGCGUUGGCCCAAACUACCAUUU